UACGUAGGCAGCGAGCGUUGUUCGGAGUUACUGGGCGUAAAGAGUGCGUAGGCGGCCAUGCGUGUCUUCCGUGAAAUCCCUCGGCUUAACUGAGGACGUGCGGAAGAAACUGCAAGGCUCGAGUCCGGGAGAGGGGGGUGGAAUUCCCAGUGUAGCGGUGAAAUGCGUAGAUAUUGGGAGGAACACCGGUGGCGAAGGCGGCCCCCUGGACCGGUACUGACGCUGAGGCGCGAAAGCGUGGGUAGCAAACGGG
rnacentral:rRNA from 1 species